ACGGGCAUGGGCGCUGCCAAAAAGCAAAAAUACAUACGCAGCAGCUGUGGGUGGGGCUGGGGGCUGGGCUGGAGUUUGCUGCGCGCCAAGCCCAACGGGCGAUCGAAAGCUAGAGAGUGUGUGUUAUUAAAAUGACAUUCAAGUGCGAACGGCGUACGGCGUACGGACGGACAGUCCAAUGCGUAGCUCAGCUCCAACCCUAUGUACAACCCCCACCCUCUUUGCCACUUGAUUUUGGCGUUUCUUGAUGCGUACGCGUGUGUGCGCAUUUAAUUUUCGACCAUUAAACUGGCCAGAGCGAGCGCGCACUAUUGCGUGCAAGCGAGCUAGCAAUAGAGCUCUAUACAUAGGAAAUUCGCGAGCAAUGCUUGGGAUUUUUUUCAAAACACAACCUGAAGCGCCGCGCUAAUAAACAAAGAGCCUGCCAGCAAUAAUAAUUGUUAAAAUUCAUAACAAAAUCAUUUCAUCAAUUCAACAUUCAAAUAAAUC